AGAGUUUGAUCAUGGCUCAGGAUGAACGCAGUAAUACACAGGUACACACCGAGAAGUUGGGCAUAGCCAGCCGAAAGGUUAGGUAAUUCCCAAUAGUCCCUCCGGGGUAAAGGAGCAAUCCGCUUUUUGAGUGCCUGUGGAACAUCAGCUAGUUGGUAGGGUAAAGCCUACCGGCUAUAACGUUUAGGGGACCUGAGAGGGUGACCCCCACCGAUACUGGACACGGACCAUACACCUACGGGUGGCCGCAGUCGAGAAUCUUCCGCAAUGGGCGAAAGCCUGACGGAGCGACGCCGCGUGAUGGAUGAAGUCCUUCGGGAUAAACAUCUUUUAUGCGUGAGAAAGUUAUUGAUGUUAGCGCAUGUAGAGGCUCAGAACUCUGUGCCAGCAGGAGCGGUAAUACAGAGGCCUCAAGCAUUAUCCAAGAAUCACUGGGCGUAAAGGGUGUGUAGGCGGCUUUGUUAGUCUUUUGUGAAAGGUCUCGGGCUUAACCCGGGAACCGCAGGAGAAACGGCAAGGCUCAGAGGACGUGAGAGGUAAAGGGAACUCAAGGUGUAGGGGUGAAAUCCGUUGAUAUCUUGGGGAACACCAAAUGCGAAGGCACUUUACUGGCACGCUCCUGACGCUGAGACACGAAAGCGUGGGUAGCGAACGGGAUUAGAUACCCCGGUAGUCCACGCCCUAAACGAUCCUAACUGGCUUUACGGAGUAUCGACCCUCUGUGAGGCGAAGCAAACGCGUUAAGUUAGGCGCCUGGGUAGUACGAUCGCAAGAUUAAAACUCAAAGGAAUAGACGGGGACUUGCACAAGCGGUGGAUCAUGCGGCUCAAUUCGAUGACAAACGAAGAACCUCACCAGGGUUUGAAACCCAGACGAAAUCCUUAGGAAACUUUGGACCCCGCAAGGCGGCUGGGCAGGUGAUGCAUGGUCGUCGUCAGUUCGUGGCUUGAGUUGUUCCCUUCAGUGGGGUAACGAACGCAACCCUCGUUGCCUGUUUUCUAUGUCAGGCGAGACUGCCCCCUCACGGGGGAGGAAGGUGAGGAUGACGCCAGAUCAGCAUGUCCCUCUGAUAUCCUGGGCUGCACGCAUGAUACAAUGCACUCGACAACGGGUCGCGACGGAGUAAUCCUGAGCUAAUCCUAUAAACGAGUGCCCAGUUCGGAUUGAGGUCUGCAACUCGACCUCAUGAAGCCGGAAUCGCUAGUAAUCGCGGGUCAGCUAUACCGCGGUGAAUACGUUCUCAAGUCUUGUACUCACCGCCCGUCAACUCAAGGGAGCCGGGAAUACCCGAAUUCCAUCUUUGGUGGAACACGGUAAGCUCGGUGACAGGG
rnacentral:rRNA from 1 species